AUUGAACGCUGGCGGCAUGCCUUACACAUGCAAGUCGAACGGCAGCACGGGAGCAAUCCUGGUGGCGAGUGGCGAACGGGUGAGUAAAGUAUCGGAACGUGCCCAGUCGUGGGGGAUAACGUAGCGAAAGUUACGCUAAUACCGCAUACGAUCUAUGGAUGAAAACGGGGGAUCGCAAGACCCCGCGCGAUUGGAGCGGCCGAUAGCAGAUUAGGUAGUUGGGGGGGUAAAGGCUCACCAAGCCGACGAUCUGUAGCUGGUCGUAGAGGACGACCAGGCACACUGGGACUGAGACACGGCCCAGACUCCUAAGGGGGGCAGCAGUGGGGAAUUUUGGACAAUGGGCGAAAGCCUGAUCCAGCCAUGCCGCGUGAAGGAUGAAGGCCUUCGGGUUGUAAACUGCUUUUGUACGGAACGAAAAGGUUUGGCCUAAUAAGCUGAGCUCAUGACGGUACCGUAAGAAUAAGCACCGGCUAACUACGUGCCAGCCGCCGCAGUAA
rnacentral:rRNA from 1 species